rnacentral:rRNA from 1 species
UACGUAGGGGGCUAGCGUUGUCCGGAAUCAUUGGGCGUAAAGAGCGUGUAGGCGGCCCGGUAAGUCCGCUGUGAAAGUCGGGGGCUACACCCUCGAAUGCCGGUGGAUACUGUCGGGCUAGAGUGCGGAAGAAGGCGAGUGGAAUUCCUGGUGUGAGGCGGUGAAAUGCGCAGAUAUACAGGGAGGAACACCGGUGGCGAAGGCGGCUUACUGGUCCGGUUCUGACGGCUGAGGCGCGAAAGCG